GGAAGUAAAAGUCGUAACAAGGUCUCCGUUGGUGAACCAGCGGAGGGAUCAUUACAGAGUUGCAAAACUCCCACAACCAUUGUGAACCUUACCUGAAACCGUUGCUUCGGCGGGCGGGCCCCAGCGGCCCCCCCCGGCCCCCCCGCCCCCCAGCGGCGUGGGCGCCCGCCGGAGGAUACCCAAACUCUUGAUACUGUAUGGCCUCUCUGAGUCUUCUGUACUGAAUAAGUCAAAACUUUCAACAACGGAUCUCUUGGUUCUGGCAUCGAUGAAGAACGCAGCGAAAUGCGAUAAGUAAUGUGAAUUGCAGAAUUCAGUGAAUCAUCGAAUCUUUGAACGCACAUUGCGCCCGCCAGUAUUCUGGCGGGCAUGCCUGUUCGAGCGUCAUUUCAACCAUCAAGCCCCCGGCUUGUGUUGGGGACCUGCGGCUGCCCGCAGGCCCUGAAAACCAGUGGCGGGCUCGCUAGUCACACCGAGCGCAGUAGCAUACAUCUCGCUCAGGGCGUGCUGCGGGUUCCGGCCGUUAAAAGCCUCCAAUAACCCAAGGUUGACCUCGGAUCAGGUAGGAAGACCCGCUGAACUUAAGCAUAUCAAUAAGCGGAGGA
rnacentral:rRNA from 1 species